AACCUUGUUGCUAGGGACCGGGCGGUUUGCGGCAACCGUGGGCACUGCUGAAUUUGAAUUGAGGGGCGAGGGAAAAGUUUUCCUCAGGUGUGGUGGGGAGAGGGAGGCGGAUGCCGGGAAACCGUAGGGACGCGGUCAGAAAGGCGACGGGCUGUCGGAGUUGGAAAGGUAAAGUUGGAGGCAGGGCUACCAUCAGUCCCACGCCUCGCGUGUCCGCCCCCCGCACCCCGGGGCCAAGGAAAGGGAUCGCGGUCUGGACUCCCCGGGGAGUUCCCUUGAUGAGGGGAAGGGCAGGUUUGGGGACGGCGAGGACACGCGGCGACCGGAGAGAGGCUACCUGACCCGCGCAGCCCGGACUCCCUUCCCUUCCCUUCCAGGGACGCCUGGUUUCCCCCCAAGCGAACCGGGAUGGGAAGUGACUUCAAUGAGAUUGAACUUCAGCUGGAUUGAAAGAGAGGCUAGAAGUUCCGCUUGCCAGCAGCCUCCUUAGUAGAGCGGAAUGAGUAAUACCCACACGGUGCUUGUCUCACUUCCCCAUCCGCACCCGGCCCUCACCUGCU
rnacentral:lncRNA from 1 species